rnacentral:lncRNA from 1 species
CCGGUACGAUACCGACACCCGCAUCGCCGUUUCACCGGAAUCCGAGUUGACUCGGAUUGACUCGGUCGAUAUUUACCGAGUCAACUCAAAUCAAUAAGAAAUCAGUAAAACUUACUGAGUUUGGCCGAGUCAACUCGCGAGUCAGACAACAAAAUCACCCACAUGAUUUCUUCUUUCUCCCACCGGUUGCCAUCCUCAUUCCAUCACUUCUGCUAGUGCAACCCAUCAUAAUUAGUUGAGGUUUCUUGAGGGUUGUGAUUGUAAGAC